rnacentral:rRNA from 1 species
UGAGGAAUAUUGGUCAAUGGACGGAAGUCUGAACCAGCCAAGUAGCGUGCAGGAUGACGGCCCUAUGGGUUGUAAACUGCUUUUGUAUGGGGAUAAAGUCAAUCACGUGUGAUUGUUUGCAGGUACCAUACGAAUAAGGACCGGCUAAUUCCGUGCCAGCAGCCGCGGUAAUACGGAAGGUUCGGGCGUUAUCCGGAUUUAUUGGGUUUAAAGGGAGCGUAGGCCGGAGAUUAAGUGUGUUGUGAAAUGUAGACGCUCAACGUCUGACUUGCAGCGCAUACUGGUUUCCUUGAGUACGCACAACGUUGGCGGAAUUCGUCGUGUAGCGGUGAAAUGCUUAGAUAUGACGAAGAACUCCGAUUGCGAAGGCAGCUGACGGGAGCGCAACUGACGCUGAAGCUCGAAGGUGCGGGUAUCGAACAGGAUUAGAUACCCUGGUAGUCCGCACAGUAACGAUGGAUGCCCGCUGUUGGUACCUGGUAUCAGCGGCUAAGCGAAAGCAUUAAGCAUCCCACCUGGGGAGUACGCCGGCNACGGU